GACGGAGGGUGCAAGCGUUAUCCGGAAUGAUUGGGCGUAAAGCGUCCGCAGGUGGCAGUUCAAGUCUGCUGUCAAAGACCGGGGCUUAACUUCGGAAAGGCGGUGGAAACUGAACAGCUAGAGUAUGGUAGGGGCAGAGGGAAUUCCUGGUGUAGCGGUGAAAUGCGUAGAUAUCAGGAAGAACAUCGGUGGCGAAGGCGCUCUGCUGGACCAUAACUGACACUCAGGGACGAAAGCUAGGGGAGCGAAUGGG
rnacentral:rRNA from 1 species